AUACAAACUUUCUGGGAUCUUGUUAAAAUACAAAUUUCCAAUUUAGUAGUUCUGCAGAAGACUGUGGGAUUCUGUAUUUUUAACAAACUCCCAGGUGAUGCUGAG
rnacentral:miRNA from 1 species